rnacentral:tRNA from 1 species
AUUUAAGUCAAGCUUGUUGUAAGGCUAAAGCCCCUUUACUAGGGGCAGAACGAAAAGUCGGAAAGCAGCUUUACUUAGAUA